rnacentral:rRNA from 1 species
AGCUUGCUCCCGGAUGUUAGCGGCGGACGGGUGAGUAACACGUGGGUAACCUGCCUGUAAGACUGGGAUAACUCCGGGAAACCGGAGCUAAUACCGGAUAGUUCCUUGAACCGCAUGGUUCAAGGAUGAAAGACGGUUUCGGCUGUCACUUACAGAUGGACCCGCGGCGCAUUAGCUAGUUGGUGGGGUAAUGGCUCACCAAGGCGACGAUGCGUACCCGACCUGAGAGGGUGAUCGGCCACACUGGGACUGAGACACGGCCCAGACUCCUACGGGAGGCAGCAGUAGGGAAUCUUCCGCAAUGGACGAAAGUCUGACGGAGCAACGCCGCGUGAGUGAUGAAGGUUUUCGGAUCGUAAAGCUCUGUUGUUAGGGAAAAACAAGUGCGAGAGUAACUGCUCGCACCUUGACGGUACCUAACCAGAAAGCCACGGCUAACUACGUGCCAGCAGCCGCGGUAAUACGUAGGUGGCAAGCGUUGUCCGGAAUUAUUGGGCGUAAAGGGCUCGCAGGCGGUUUCUUAAGUCUGAUGUGAAAGCCCCCGGCUCAACCGGGGAGGGUCAUUGGAAACUGGGAAACUUGAGUGCAGAAGAGGAGAGUGGAAUUCCACGUGUAGCGGUGAAAUGCGUAGAGAUGUGGAGGAACACCAGUGGCGAAGGCGACUCUCUGGUCUGUAACUGACGCUGAGGAGCGAAAGCGUGGGGAGCGAACAGGAUUAUAUACCCUGGUAGUCCACGCCGUAAACGAUGAGUGCUAAGUGUUAGGGGGUUUCCGCCCCUUAGUGCUGCAGCUAACGCAUUAA